AUCCCGGAUGAGCCUUAAGGUAAAAGAUUUAUUGCCUGNAGAUGAGCUCGCGUCUGAUUAGCUAGUUGGUGGGGUAAAAGCUUACCAAGGCAACGAUCAGUAGCUGGUCUGAGAGGAUGAGCAGCCACACUGGGACUGANACACGGCCCAGACUCCUACGGGAGGCAGCAGUGGGGAAUUUUCCGCAAUGGGCGAAAGCCUGACGGAGCAAGACCGCGUGGGGGAGGAAGGCUCUAGGGUUGUAAACCCCUUUUCUUUGGGAAGAAC
rnacentral:rRNA from 1 species